rnacentral:misc_RNA from 1 species
CCUCUCAAGCUCGGCUUGUUGUUGGACAUCAGGUCCGGGUUUACCCCCGACCGGUCCCAAAAGUAAUGACGGCGUCCGUGGGACUCUCGGUGCAACGAGCUUUUUAAGCACGCACAGGAGUUGAAAGGUCCCCCGGCACGGUCUACAACCAUUUUUCUAAGGUUGACCUCGGAUCAGGUAGGAAUACCCGCUGAACUUAA